AGCAGUCGCCGCGGGAAUACGAAGGGCGCAAGCGUUACUCGGAAUUACUGGGCGUAAAGGGCUCGCAGGCGGUUUCUUAAGUCUGAUGUGAAAGCCCCCGGCUCAACCGGGGAGGGUCAUUGGAAACUGGGAAACUUGAGUGCAGAAGAGGAGAGUGGAAUUCCACGUGUAGCGGUGAAAUGCGUAGAGAUGUGGAGGAACACCAGUGGCGAAGGCGACUCUCUGGUCUGUAACUGACGCUGAGGAGCGAAAGCGUGGGGAGCGAACAGGAUUAGAUACCCGUGUAGUCCCUGUCUCUUAUAC
rnacentral:rRNA from 1 species